CGGACGAACGCUGGCGGCAUGCCUAAUACAUGCAAGUCGAACGCGGCCAUCCGGUGCUUGCACUGGUGAAGCCGAGUGGCGAACGGGUGAGUAACACGUGAGAAACCUGCCCUGGAGUGGGGAAUAACUCGAAGAAAUUCGAGCUAAUACCGCAUACCUUCUCUUCACCGCAUGGUGAGUUGAAGAAAGAUUUAUCGCUCUAGGAGGGUCUCGCGGCCUAUCAGCUAGUUGGUGAGGUAAUGGCUCACCAAGGCAUCGACGGGUAGCUGGUCUGAGAGGACGAUCAGCCACACUGGGACUGAGACACGGCCCAGACUCCUACGGGAGGCAGCAGUAGGGAAUCUUGCGCAAUGGGCGAAAGCCUGACGCAGCAAUGCCGCGUGCGGGACGAAGGCCCUAGGGUCGUAAACCGCUUUCAGUAGGGACGAAAAUGACGGUACCUGCAGAAGAAGCUCCGGCCAACUACGUG
rnacentral:rRNA from 1 species